rnacentral:rRNA from 1 species
UACGUAGGGGGCAAGCGUUGUCCGGAUUUAUUGGGCGUAAAGAGCGUGUAGGCGGCCAGGUAGGUCUGCUGUGAAAACUCGAGGCUUAACCUCGAGCUGUCGGCGGAAACCAUGUGGCUAGAGUCCGGAAGAGGAGAGUGGAAUUCCUGGUGUAGCGGUGAAAUGCGCAGAUAUCAGGAAGAACACCCGUGGCUAAGGCGGCUCUCUAGUACGGUACUGACGCUGAGACGCGAAAGCGUGGGGAGCGAACAGG